UACGUAGGGUGCAAGCGUUAAUCGGAAUUACUGGGCGUAAAGUGUGCGCAGGUGGCUUCGCAAGUCGAGUGUGAAAUCCCCGGGCUUAACCUGGGAAUUGCGCUCGAAACUACGGAGCUGGAGUGUGGCAGAGGAAGGUGGAAUUCCACGUGUAGCGGUGAAAUGCGUAGAUAUCUGGAGGAAUACCGGUGGCGAAGGCGGCAUCCUGGACCAUAACUGACGCUGAGGCGCGAAAGCUAGGGGAGCAAACGGG
rnacentral:rRNA from 1 species